GUGACCUGGGAGGCUCCAGCCGACCCCCCCCUGGAGAACCUUCUCUUCAGUGCCACGUUUGUGAAGAACUAUGCAGAGUUCUGGUGGGGUGUGAACAGCUCUGUUGUCCGUUCCUCAGGUUCUCCUGGUUCCUCUGCUCCUACCAUCUCCGCUUGCCUGGCUUUGCUGUGGGCCACGGUGGUCUGUCUUUCUGUCUACAACUGACACACACAAACACGCAAAACACACACACUUCACAGAUAUACACACACAUGUAAAACAUUCACACACAUUGUAAGCAAACCCAAAAAUCUUGAAACCUCACUCGAGACAUAGACAGAA